rnacentral:rRNA from 1 species
AACGAACGCUGGCGGCAGGCUUAACACAUGCAAGUCGAACGGGCCCUGGAGCAAUCCAGGGUCAGUGGCAGACGGGUGAGUAACACGUGGGAACCUUCCUAGGGGUACGGAACAACUCAGGGAAACUUGAGCUAAUACCGUAUACGUCCGUAAGGAGAAAGAUUCAUCGCCCCUAGACGGGCCCGCGUCGGAUUAGGUAGUUGGUGGGGUAACGGCCUACCAAGCCUACGAUCCGUAGCUGAUCUGAGAGGAUGAUCAGCCACACUGGGACUGAGACACGGCCCAGACUCCUACGGGAGGCAGCAGUGGGGAAUAUUGCGCAAUGGGCGAAAGCCUGACGCAGCGACGCCGCGUGUGGGAUGACGGCCUU